rnacentral:rRNA from 1 species
AGAGUUUGAUCCUGGCUCAGGAUGAACGCUAGCGGCAGGCCUAAUACAUGCAAGUCGAACGGAUCUGAAAGCUUCGGUUUUCAGGUUAGUGGCGCACGGGUGCGUAACGCGUAUGCAACCUACCUUUUACUGGGGGAUAGCCCGGAGAAAUCCGGAUUAAUACCGCAUAAUAUCAUUUGAGGGCAUCCGAAGAUGAUUAAAGAUUUAUUGGUAAAAGAUGGGCAUGCGUGCCAUUAGCUAGUUGGUGGUGUAACGGACCACCAAGGCGACGAUGGCUAGGGGUUCUGAGAGGAUGAUCCCCCACACUGGUACUGAGAUACGGACCAGACUCCUACGGGAGGCAGCAGUAGGGAAUAUUGGGCAAUGGACGCAAGUCUGACCCAGCCAUGCCGCGUGCAGGAUGAAGGCCUUCUGGGUUGUAAACUGCUUUUAUCUAGGAAGAAAAAACCCUUGCGAGGGGAACUGACGGUACUAGGUGAAUAAGCACCGGCUAACUCCGUGCCAGCAGCCGCGGUAAUACGGAGGGUGCAAGCGUUGUCCGGAUUUAUUGGGUUUAAAGGGUGCGUAGGCGGCCCGUUAAGUCCGUGGUGAAAGCCAACAGCUCAACUGUUGAACUGCCAUGGAUACUGACGGGCUUGAGUACAGACGAGGUAGGCGGAAUGGAUGGUGUAGCGGUGAAAUGCAUAGAUACCAUCCAGAACACCGAUUGCGUAGGCAGCUUACUAGGCUGUAACUGACGCUGAGGCACGAAAGCGUGGGGAGCGAACAGGAUUAGAUACCCUAGUAGUCC